CGAACGCUGAAUUCCCGCCCAGCGGGAAACGGGGGAACCAUCCGGCUGAUACGGCCAUGGGGUGAAUCCUGAGGAGACUGCGACUCCCGCAUUCUCACCAGGUAGGGCGACUCUCACCGCCCGAAUCCUGCAGCUAACCUCGUAAGUGUAUAGAGAGA
rnacentral:sRNA from 1 species